rnacentral:lncRNA from 1 species
AAUAAUCAAUUUCAUUCAUGCAUAUAUCAUUAACAAAAAAUAAAAUUACAAAACAAUGUAUGACUUUGACCUAUAAUUGACUUUGGUCAACUAUUGACUUUUUGGUCAAUCCAGUUGACCAAAUCAGCUGACCUAACCCUAAUAUACUUUGGACCUCAUCCCAUAGAUUCUCGCAUUCUUGCUCAUCCAAUUUAUUUAAAGGUUCUUGAUGCAUUCU